rnacentral:pre_miRNA from 1 species
CUGGGGACAGUGGAAAGCUGGUGGGCCGCGGAACAUGUGCUGACCUCGGGCCGCAUGUCUGCUGACCAUCACCUUUGGGAC